rnacentral:rRNA from 1 species
UACGUAGGCGGCGCUGUUAGUCGGGUGUGAAAUCCCUCGGCUCAACCGAGGAAUUGCGUCCGAUACUGCAGUGCUUGAGGGAGACAGAGGUAAGCGGAACUGAUGGUGGAGCGGUGAAAUGCGUUGAUAUCAUCAGGAACACCGGUGGCGAAAGCGGCUUACUGGGUCUCUUCUGACGCUGAGGUACGAAAGCUAGGGGAGCAAGG